GGGGAGGUGGUCUAACUGGUAGAACUUGUGAUUAUUGAUCACAAGCUUGGGGUUCGAAUCCCCUCCUCCCCG
rnacentral:tRNA from 1 species